UCUGACGUAUUCACACAACUUGAAACCGAUGCCUAUGGUCAUUUUUAAAAGUAUGCAUAUAAAGUAAAAACAUCUUUCAGAUUAUUAGCAGCACUUUGUUGUGGUAAUGGGGAGCAGUGAGCAGCACUUAUUGAUUAUGCCAUAAUCCUGCUGUAGUCUACACUCGGCAGAGAGGAAGUUAUUUCUCGCGGGCACAGCUGCCAGCGACACUGAUUGAUUACUCCACAUUUAAUUUCUCUUGCUGGGAGCAACUACAUCUGGAACUGAGUGCACACACUUCGGAGGCCGUCACCUGUCAAUCAUUCCUGUAAAUGAUGAUUCGGCCAAUCCGGUGUCUGCUCAACCCCCUGCGAAGGAAACUUGUACUGUAUCCACUCAGAACAGCCAGCUGCCAGUCAAAGCUAGUCACACACAGUCUUUUCCCCUGCUAGACAAAAUCAGUCAAUCCUCAUCUCACAGUUUGUCCAUAUGGAAUCAACCCUUCUGUCAAUCAGACCGCAGAAUGAAGGCUGAGGUUGCUAACGCAGCAAGACCGACGCGUCCCUGAAGAUCCUGGACUCUUAAUUAUGGUGAAAUAAUCGGUGCGUGCAGCGUAGCCUCGGGCUGCCAGCCCCAGAGGUGAGCUCUACACAGACACACGGAGAACACAGAGCAGAGAAGAUACUGGUUCUGCUCUGAAAACGCUGUGUAGUUCAGCCAAAGUGGACAGGUUUAGAUUCAUCUGUGACAAAGGCAUUAAUGAUCUGGUUUUAAAAUGUCAUUAUAAAACACAAUAGAUGGCCUAACAGAUAUAUCUGAUUUUGUCAAAAAAAAAAAAAAUCUUUCUCAGUGGAAAUGUUAUGAAUGCAAUGGGAUUGAGUACACCUGUGGUUACUCUCAGGACAUCUGUGUGAACUCACUUCAUACAUUCACUAAAAAUCACCUUUGCACCAGUAGCUGAAGAAGUUGCCAAUGCCAUUUGGCUUGAUAUUUACAUGCAAUGCAUUGACAUUCAAUAUUCACCGUCAUUGGUCGGAUAACAUAUAAUCCUCCCCCCAAUUCACAC